UACGUAGGGAGCGAGCGUUGUCCGGAAUUACUGGGUGUAAAGGGAGCGUAGGCGGGGUUGCAAGUUGGGUGUCAAAUCUACCGGCUCAACUGGUAGUCGCACUCAAAACUGCAGCUCUUGAGUGGAGUAGAGGCAGGCGGAAUUCCUAGUGUAGCGGUGAAAUGCGUAGAUAUUAGGAGGAACACCAGUGGCGAAGGCGGCCUGCUGGGCUUUUACUGACGCUGAGGCUCGAAAGUGUGGGGAGCAAACAGG
rnacentral:rRNA from 1 species